rnacentral:misc_RNA from 1 species
UGUAGGAGUGAGCCUGCUCGCGAUAGCGGUGGGUCAUUCAGCGACGAUGUUGGCUGAUCCACCGCUAUCGCGAGCAGGCUCACUCCUACA